rnacentral:rRNA from 1 species
GACGGGGGAUGCGAGCGUUAUCCGGAAUUAUUGGGCGUAAAGCGUCCGCAGGUGGACAUACAAGUCUGCUGUCAAAGUGCAGAGCUUAACUCUGUAAAGGCGGUGGAAACUGUAGGUCUUGAGUAUGGUAGGGGUAGAGGGAAUUCCCGGUGUAGCGGUGAAAUGCGUAGAUAUCGGGAAGAACACCAGUGGCGAAAGCGCUCUACUGGGCCAUAACUGACACUGAGGGACGAAAGCUAGGGGAGCGAAAGGG